rnacentral:rRNA from 1 species
CCUACGGGAGGCAGCAGUGGGGAAUAUUGCGCAAUGGGCGAAAGCCUGACGCAGCGACGCCGCGUGAGGGAUGAAGGUCUUCGGAUCGUUAACCUCUGUCAGCAGGGAAGAACGGUCACUGUGCUAAUCAGCAGUGAAUUGACGGUACCUGCAAAGGAAGCACCGGCUAACUCCGUGCCAGCAGCCGCGGUAAUACGGAGGGUGCGAGCGUUAAUCGGAAUUACUGGGCGUAAAGCGCUCGUAGGCGGUAUGUCAAGUCAAGGGUGAAAUCCCCGCGCUCAACGUGGGAACUGCCUUUGAAACGGGCAAACUGGAGUGUGUGAGAGGAUAGUGGAAUUCCAGGUGUAGGAGUGAAAUCCGUAGAUAUCUGGAGGAACAUCAGUGGCGAAGGCGACUAUCUGGCACAUAACUGACGCUGAGGAGCGAAAGCGUGGGUAGCAAACAGGAUUAGAUACCCGAGUAGUC